GAUGAACGCUGGCGGCGUGCCUAAUACAUGCAAGUCGAGCGAACGGACGAGAAGCUUGCUUCUCUGAUGCUAGCGGCGGACGGGUGAGUAACACGUGGAUAACCUACCUAUAAGACUGGGAUAACUUCGGGAAACCGGAGCUAAUACCGGAUGAUAUUUUGAACCGCAUGGUUCAAAAGUGAAAGACGGUCUUGCUGUCACUUAUAGAUGGAUCCGCGCUGCAUUAGCUAGUUGGUAAGGUAACGGCUUACCAAGGCAACGAUGCAUAGCCGACCUGAGAGGGUGAUCGGCCACACUGGAACUGAGACACGGCCCAGACUCCUACGGGAGGCAGCAGUAGGGAAUCUUCCGCAAUGGGCGAAAGCCUGACGGAGCAACGCCGCGUGAGUGAUGAAGGUCUUCGGAUCGUAAAACCCUGUUAUUAGGGAAGAACAUAUGUGUAAGUAACUGUGCACAUCUUGACGGUACCUAAUCAGAAAGCCACGGCUAACUACGUG
rnacentral:rRNA from 1 species